rnacentral:rRNA from 1 species
UACGUAGGGUGCAAGCGUUGUCCGGAAUUAUUGGGCGUAAAGAGCUCGUAGGCGGUCCGUCACGUUCGGCUGUGAAAACCCGGGGCUCAACCCCGGGCCUGCAGUCGAUACGGGCGGACUAGAGUUCGGCAGGGGAGACUGGAAUUCCUGGUGUAGCGGUGAAAUGCGCAGAUAUCGGGAGGAACACCGGUGGCGAAGGCGGAUCUCUGGGCCUUGCCUGACGCUGAGGCGCGAAAGCUAGGGGAGCGAACAGG